rnacentral:rRNA from 1 species
UACGUAGGUGGCAAGCGUUGUCCGGAUUUACUGGGUGUAAAGGGCGUGUAGCCGGGUCGGCAAGUCAGAUGUGAAAUCUGGGGGCUCAACCUCCAAACUGCAUUUGAAACUGUUGAUCUUGAGUAUCGGAGAGGUAAUCGGAAUUCCUAGUGUAGCGGUGAAAUGCGUAGAUAUUAGGAAGAACACCAGUGGCGAAGGCGGAUUACUGGACGACAACUGACGGUGAGGCGCGAAAGCGUGGGGAGCAAAC